AUGAGAAUGGAGUGCGGCUUCCUAAUCCUCGUGCUUGUGCUUGCGUUGCUAGGGACGCAGACAACACGAGUGUUGGGCGCCGUGGGGACAAGUAGCCGGCCGUAUGAACAAAGCAAUCUUGCCGUUCCGUCGGCGGCCAUGAUGGGCAGGUGCCCGAAGAAGUGUGGCAAUCUGAGCUUCGCCUACCCAUUCGGCAUGGGCACCGGCUGCUUCCGCAACCCCGACUUCAACCUGACCUGCGUCGUCGAAGGCAGCACGGGCACCUCCCGGCUCUUCUUGCGCGACGGCAUCACCGAGGUCGCUGCCGGCCAUUGGUUCCGGCAUCGAGGUCGGCUGGUCGCCGGAAAUAAGCAUCUCCUACACCGAAACCGUCCCUGUCCGCUCCGGCGUGGACGUCUACAACAUGUCCUCUUGGUCACCUCCCGGGCGAUCUUUCUUGCUAUUCGAUGCCAGCAUAAACGUCACGGGCUGCGGCUUCGACGUGUACAUGCUGGACCACGACUUGAACACGACCUCAAAGGUCUGCUCAACCACCUGCCCCGGCGGCGAGAUCACGGAGACGAUGGCCAUGCAGAACUGCAACGACACCUGGUGCUGCUCCGUCCGUUUUUUCUUUAACUUUAAUGGGUUUCAGUUCAGCUUUGUCCGGCGACGGGGCGAGGAAGGCAGGGUAAACUACACAAGUCCCUUGUGGAACAAGAUCAGCGUCACAACGGACGAUGCAAUCCUGCUGUGGUAUGUGGCCGAUCAGCAAAGAUGUGCCGACGCCGAGGCAGACGUGGCCACCUACGCCUGCCUCAGCAGCAACAGCAGCUGCACAGAUAACGAUUUUACAUAUAGCGGCUACCAAUGCUACUGCGACGGCGGGUAUGUAGGCAAUCCCUAUGUUCGCGGUGGUUGCUCGCGCGACAAAGGAUAUAAGCCAAAUCAACAAGUGACAAAUUGCACACGACGAUGUGGAAACAUUGACAUCCAAUUUCCUUUCGGCCUAGAAGAAGGCUGUUUUGCGAGGGAGGUAUUUCAGCUGAAUUGCACUAAUACGACAACCUCUACACUACAAAUGAAAGAUGAUGAUGAAAAUCAAGUGACGUACAUAAAUAUUGAGGAGGGGCUAGUGGAGAUUAAUUAUACGGCAGAUUAUUACAACCUGCGGUUUUCCGCGAAUUAUAUUGACGAGGAAUCUAACCUCUAUAUGAGUAGUUAUUGGCACACAUCAUCGGUUCAGUGGGCUGUCGCUAACCUAACUUGUCAAGAAGCACAGAUGGACAUGUCUAGGUAUGCAUGUGUCAGCAGCAAUAGCACAUGUCUGAUUGUCAACUCUACGAUGAAUGGUUUCUAUGGUUAUCGCUGCAAAUGUUCGCCAGGCUAUCAAGGAAAUCCGUACGUACAUACUGGUUGUCAGGAUAUUAAUGAGUGCACUAAUACAAGAGGUAUAUGUGAAGAGGUUUGUCAUAAUACUGUGGGGAGCUAUUAUUGCACCAAGUGUCCUCCAAAAAUGGACUAUGAUACUACAACAAUGCAAUGUACUUCAAUAAAAAGACAAAAUAUUUACAUAGGUAUUAUCAUUGGGUUGAGCAGUGGCUUCGGGGUUCUUUUUCUUAGCUUGAGUGGAGUUUUCAUUGUACACAAAUGGAAGAGCCACAUCCGAAGGCAGAUGCGGAGGAAAUAUUUUAGGAAAAACCAAGGUCUUCUUUUAGAACAACUUAUAUCGUCGGAUGAAAAUGCAAGUGACAAGACAAGAAUUUUCUCAGUGGAAGAGCUAGAGAAGGCAACAGACAACUUCCAUCAAACACGUAUCGUUGGCCGUGGAGGGCAUGGCAUGGUUUACAAAGGCAUACUAUCCGACCAAAGGGUAGUUGCCAUAAAGAAGUCUAAGGUCAUUGAGCAAGGUGAGAUCAAUCAAUUCAUCAAUGAGGUCGCCAUUCUCUCUCAGAUAAACCACCGAAACAUCGUAAAGCUUUUCGGAUGUUGUCUUGAAACAGAGGUACCUUUGUUAGUGUACGAUUUUAUCCCCAACGGAUCAUUGUAUGGUAUUCUUCAUUCUGAUUCCAACACUAGUUGUUUAUCUUGGGAUGACUGCAUAAGGAUUGCUUUGGAAGCUGCAGGAGCUCUCUCUUAUCUCCAUUCCGCAGCAUCAAUAUCAGUCUUCCAUCGUGAUGUGAAAUCAUCCAAUAUACUAUUGGAUGGAAACUACACAGCUAAGGUUGCUGAUUUUGGGGCUUCAAGGCUAGUUUCUAUUGACCAAACCCACAUUGUGACAAAUGUACAAGGCACGUUUGGGUACUUGGACCGAGAAUAUUACUACACUGGACAAUUAAAUGAGAAAAGUGAUGUCUACAGUUUUGGGGUUGUACUCAUUGAGCUACUUCUCAGGAGAGAGCCAAUAUUCACAAGUGAAUCCGGCUCGAAGCAAAACUUGUCAAACUAUUUCCUAUCGGGGUUAAAAGCAAGACCAGUUACAGAAAUAGUAGCUGCCCAAGUUCUUGAUGAAGCAACUGAGGAAGAGAUUAGCAGCGUAGCUUCCCUUGCAGAGAUGUGCUUGAGGCUCCGAGGUGAGGAUAGACCUACCAUGAAACACGUGGAGAUGGCUUUAAGGGUUCUGCAAACAGAAAGGUUAAAAUUGUGCCAUGUUGAUCCAGGGAAUGCACAAGAGAAGGAACCACUGCUAACUCCAGCAAGAGAAAAAGAUAGCUCUGAUCAGUUGGUUGCUUCUGAUUGUGUCAAUGCUAAUUUGGCAUCUGAAAACAUGAAACCGUGCUAUAGCUUUGAGCAAGAGUUCAUGUCAUAUGAUGGUGUUUCACGCCUCUGA
rnacentral:rRNA from 1 species